CCUACGGGUGGCAGCAGUGGGGAAUAUUGGACAAUGGGCGAAAGCCUGAUCCAGCCAUGCCGCGUGUGUGAAGAAGGCCUUCGGGUUGUAAAGCACUUUCAGUGGGGAAGAAAGCCUUGGGGCUAAUACCCUCGAGGAAGGACAUCACCCACAGAAGAAGCACCGGCUAACUCCGUGCCAGCAGCCGCGGUAAUACGGAGGGUGCGAGCGUUAAUCGGAAUUACUGGGCGUAAAGCGCGCGUAGGCGGUCUGAUAAGCCGGUUGUGAAGGCCCCGGGCUCAACCUGGGAACGGCAUCCGGAACUGUCAGGCUAGAGUGCAGGAGAGGAAGGUAGAAUUCCCGGUGUAGCGGUGAAAUGCGUAGAGAUCGGGAGGAAUACCAGUGGCGAAGGCGGCCUUCUGGACUGACACUGACGCUGAGGUGCGAAAGCGUGGGUAGCAAACAGGAUUAGAUACCCCUGUAGUC
rnacentral:rRNA from 1 species